CCUACGGGAGGCAGCAGUGGGGAAUAUUGCACAAUGGGGGAAACCCUGAUGCAGCGACGCCGCGUGAGUGAAGAAGUAUUUCGGUAUGUAAAGCUCUAUCAGCAGGGAAGAAAAUGACGGUACCUGAUUAAGAAUCCCCGGCUAACUACGUGCCAGCCGCCGCGGUAAUACGUAGGGGGCGAGCGUUAUCCGGAUUCACUGGGUGUAAAGGGAGCGUAGACGGCCAAGCAAGCCAGGGGUGAAAGCCCGGGGCCCAACCCCGGGACUGCCCUUGGAACUGCAUGGCUGGAGUGCGGGAGGGGCAGGCGGAAUUCCUGGUGUAGCGGUGAAAUGCGUAGAUAUCAGGAGGAACACCGGCGGCGAAGGCGGCCUGCUGGACCGCGACUGACGUUGAGGCUCGAAAGCGUGGGGAGCGAACAGGAUUAGAUACCCUUGUAGUC
rnacentral:rRNA from 1 species